rnacentral:rRNA from 1 species
UACGAAGGGGGCUAGCGUUGCUCGGAAUUACUGGGCGUAAAGGGUGCGUAGGCGGGUCUUUAAGUCAGAGGUGAAAUCCUGGAGCUCAACUCCAGAACUGCCUUUGAUACUGAAGAUCUUGAGUUCGGGAGAGGUGAGUGGAACUGCGAGUGUAGAGGUGAAAUUCGUAGAUAUUCGCAAGAACACCAGUGGCGAAGGCGGCUCACUGGCCCGAUACUGACGCUGAGGCGCGAAAGCGUGGGUAGCAAACAGG